CUAGUACGGCGAGUGAAGCGGGAAGAGCUCAAAUUUGAAAUCUGGCAGUCUUCGAUUGUCCGAGUUGUAAUCUAUAGAGGCGUUUUCCGUGCCGGACCGUGUCCAAGUCUCCUGGAAAGGAGUAUCAAAGAGGGUGAUAAUCCCGUACUUAACACGACCACCGGUGCUCUGUGAUACGUCUUCUACGAGUCGAGUUGUUUGGGAAUGCAGCUCAAAAUGGGUGGUGAAUUCCAUCUAAAGCUAAAUAUUGGCGAGAGACCGAUAGCGAACAAGUACCGUGAGGGAAAGAUGAAAAGCACUUUGGAAAGAGAGUUAAACAGUACGUGAAAUUGUUGAAAGGGAAACGAUUGAAGUCAGUCGUGUUCUUUGGAUUCAGCCAGUUCUGCUGGUCUACUUCCUUGGAACGGGUCAACAUCAGUUUUGUCCGGUGGAUAAAGGUAGUAGGAAUGUGACUUCUCCGGAAGUGUUAUAGCCUAUUAUCACAUACACUGGGUGAGACUGAGGACUGCAGCUCGCCUUUAUGGCCGGCCUUCGGGCACGUUCGAGCUUAGGAUGUUGACAUAAUGGCUUUAAACGACCCGUCUUGAA
rnacentral:rRNA from 1 species